AUUAGGAAGUGUGAAGGAGCGACAGGGACGGUGGCCCCGAUCAUAUGUCAUUUAGCGUACUAUCGCUUCUGAACCUUAAGUCGGCUUUGUGAGUUCGAAGUGGCUGUUUUUACAAAAAUAAAAGUAUCCAGGCCCGGAGUCCAGCCCUUUCAUCACAAGCCGUAUAUGUAUGUGGUUGCCCAGCCCUGGAAGUGUGAGCAGCCUGAAGUGAGAGAUGCUGUAAGUGAACACUGCACAUUGACAAGUACCCAUCCCUUCCCCCAAAGCGUGUAAAAUACCCCAUUAAUAGUAAUAGUGCAUCUAUUAUACUCCAGCGAUGUGUUGGAUUAAAUAAAACAUUUUAUGUCA